GACGAACGCUGGCGGCGUGCUUAACACAUGCAAGUCGAACGGAAAGGCCCUGCUUUUGUGGGGUGCUCGAGUGGCGAACGGGUGAGUAACACGUGAGUAACCUGCCCUUGACUUUGGGAUAACUUCAGGAAACUGGGGCUAAUACCGGAUAGGAGCUCCUGCUGCAUGGUGGGGGUUGGAAAGUUUCGGCGGUUGGGGAUGGACCCGCGGCUUAUCAGCUUGUUGGUGGGGUAGUGGCUUACCAAGGCUUUGACGGGUAGCCGGCCUGAGAGGGUGACCGGCCACAUUGGGACUGAGAUACGGCCCAGACUCCUACGGGAGGCAGCAGUGGGGAAUAUUGCACAAUGGGCGGAAGCCUGAUGCAGCAACGCCGCGUGCGGGAUGACGGCCUUCGGGUUGUAAACCGCCUUCGCCUGUGACGAAGCGUGAGUGACGGUAAUGGGUAAAGAAGCACCGGCUAACUACGUG
rnacentral:rRNA from 1 species